rnacentral:lncRNA from 1 species
UGAAUUUGGUUGAUUGCAAUAAUGAAAAUUAAGCAAAGUAAAAUUGGUUUGAACUUUAUAGUAAUAAAAUUGUCAGCGAUGAGUUUCACUAGAUGACUAUCUUGAGUUAUCAACUUGAAUAUGACUAUUGAAUCGGCUUAUCGAAUCAUUACCGAAUUCUCUAAUUUAUUAUUGCCCUAAAUCCUCAGUGAAAAAAUCAUUAAUCCUAAAAUAACCCCUAAUUCCUUGGCGAAUUUAAGAUUAGAAUUAAGCAUGAUGGAACAAGAAUUCGUAAUUG